UUUUUGUUUGACUGUGUGUAGAGAGAGAGAAAGAGAGCGCGCGCGAGAUCGAGAUCCAUGGCGGAGGGGGUGCUUGCUUCCAGCAUCGUGAAGGCGGUGCUAGCGAAGUUCGGGUCCUCGGUUUGGGGAGAGCUGGCGCUCCUGAGGAGCUUCAGGACUGACCUGAAGGCCAUGGAGGACGAGUUCGCCACCAUCCGGAGCGUGCUUGCGGACGCUGAGGUGCGCGGCGGCAGCGGCGACAGCGCCGUCCGCGACUGGCUGCGCAGGCUCAAGAACCUCGCCCACGACAUCGACGACUUCCUCGACGCCUGCCACUCCGACCUGCGCGCUGGCCGCCGCCGCCGGAGCCGGGGCAGCCCGGCGUGCGGCUCCACGGCCACCUGCAUCGUCAGCUCCGUCGUCAUGGCGCACAGGCUGAGGUCCCUGAGGCGCAAGCUGGACGCCGUCGCCUCGGGGAGGGACAGGCUGCGCUUGAAUCCCAACGUUUCUCCGCCGGCGCACCCGGUCGCUCCCCCGAAGCGGGAGACCAUCUCAAAGGUCGACGAGGCCAAGACGGUGGGGAGGGCCGCGGACAAAGAGAAGCUCAUGAAGCUGGUCCUCGACGCGGCGAGCGAGGAGGACGUGUCCGUGAUCCCCAUCGUCGGCUUCGGCGGCCUCGGCAAGACGACGCUGGCGCAGCUGGUGUUCAACGACCGGAGGGCCAACGACGAGGUGUUCGACCUCCGGAUCUGGGUCUCCAUGUCCGUGGAUUUCAGCCUCAGAAGGCUCAUCCAGCCGAUUGUGAGCGCGACCAAGCUGAAGCGCGAUCUAACCAGCCUGGAGGCCAUCGCAAACUUCUUGUCCGAGACGUUCACGGGGAAGAAGUACCUGCUGGUUCUCGAUGAUGUGUGGAGCGAGAGCCAGGAGGAGUGGGAGCGGCUGAAGCUUCUCCUCAAGGAUGGCAAGCGAGGCAGCAAGAUCAUGGUGACCACACGGAGCCGCAAGGUCGGCAUGAUGGUGCGCACCGUGCCGCCAUUCGUUCUCGAAGGCCUCUCUGAUGAUGAUUGUUGGGAGCUGUUCAAGGGAAAGGCUUUUGAGGAAGGGGAGGAGCAUAUGCAUCCCAAGCUAGUCAAGUUAGGGAAGGGGAUUGUCCAGAAAUGCGGCGGCGUGCCGUUGGCCGCCAAGGCUCUUGGGAGCAUGCUGCGGUUCAAGAGGAACGAGGAAUCAUGGAUUGCUGUCAAGGACAGUGAGAUAUGGCAGCUGGAUAAGGAGGACACAAUUUUGCCGUCUCUCAAGCUCACCUAUGACCAAAUGCCACCUGGUCUGAAGCAGUGCUUUGCAUAUUGUGCAUCAUUUCCUAGAAACUAUGAGAUUGACAGGGACAAGCUUAUUCAGCGAUGGAUUGCUCUUGGUUUCAUUGAACCCACAAAGUAUGGCUGCCAAUCGGUUUUCGAUCAAGCCAACGACUAUUUCGAGCACUUGCUGUGGAUGUCUUUCCUUCAAGAAGUAGUGGAGCACGAUUUGUCAAAGAAAGAAUUAGAGGAAGAUCGCAAUGUUAAGUACAAGAUUCAUGACUUGGUGCAUGACCUUGCUCAGUCUGUUGCCGGGGAUGAAGUCCAGAUCAUCAACUCUAAGAAUGUCAAUGGGCGCGCCGAAGCAUGCUGCCACUAUGCAUCAUUGGCUGAUGACACGAGGGCCUCUAAAGUUCUCCGGAGCACGCUCCGUAAAGUCCGCGCGUUGCAUUCCUGGGGUCAUGCUCUUGAUGUCCAGUUUUCUUCACUCCAGCUGCUUGAGAGUACUAGAUUUGCGAGGCAGCCAAAUUACGGAGCUUCCCAAGUCAGUUGGCAGAUUAAAACACUUGAGGUACUUGGACGUCUCUUCAUCCCCUAUCACAAGUCUGCCCAAUUGCAUCAGUAACCUCCACAAUCUGCAAACACUUCAUUUGUCCAAUUGUGGCAAUCUAUAUGUGCUUCCCAUGUCAAUAUGCAGUCUUGAGAAUCUGGAAACCCUGAAUCUUUCCACUUGCCACUUUCAGACCUUGCCAGAUUCCAUAGGGCAUCUUCAAAACCUGCAAAAUCUUAACAUGUCAUUUUGCAGUUUCCUCUGUACAUUACCCAGCUCCAUCGGUGAACUCCAAAGUUUGCAAGACUUGAAUUUUAAAGGGUGUGUCAAUCUUAAGAUUCUGCCUGACACUAUGUGCAGACUGCAAAGUUUGCAUUUCUUGAACCUCUCACAGUGUGGAAUUCUCCGAGCACUGCCCAAAAAUAUUGGGAAUCUCUCAAAUUUGCUGCAUCUGAAUUUAUCGCAAUGCAGUGAUCUUGAGGCAAUCCCUGACUCGAUAGGCUGCAUUACAAGGCUGCAUACUCUGGACAUGUCUUACUGUAGCAGUUUGUCGGAAUUACCUCGAUCCGUUGGUGGCCUUCUGGAGCUUCAAACUCUCAUUCUAUCACAUCAUGCACGGAGUUUGGCAUUGCCCAUAGCAACCAGUCACCUACCAAACUUGCAGAUUUUGGAUCUCUCAUUGAAUAUUGGUCUGGAGGAAUUGCCUGAAUCAAUUGGUAAUCUUCAUAACUUGAAGGAGCUUAUUUUGUUCCAGUGCUGGAAUCUUCAUAAGCUACCUGAGUCUAUAGCAAACCUCAUGAUGCUGGAGAGGUUAAGCCUUGUUGGGUGUGCAGAUCUAGCCACGCUACCUGACGGCAUGACAACCAUCACUAAUCUGAAGCACCUACAAAAUGACCAGUGCCCAUCUUUGGAGAGACUACCUGAUGGAUUUGGGCAAUGGACUAAACUUGAAACAUUAUCCUUGCUCAUUAUAGGUGACACAUGCAGCAGUAUUGCGGAGCUAAAAGACCUUAUUCUUCUGAGUGGCUGUCUUAGAAUUGAAUGCCUCUCACACAAGAAGGAUUUGACUAUCGAUGCCAAGAGAGCAAACUUGAGGGAUAAGAGGAAACUAAGCAACUUGACUGUGUCAUGGACCAGUUCAUGCUCUUCUGAUGAGCUGAAGAACGUCGAAACAUUUCUUGAAGUUCUCUUGCCACCUGAAAACCUUGAGGUCCUUGAAAUAAAUGGCUACAUGGGCACUAAAUUUCCCAGCUGGAUGAUGGAGAGCAUGGAAUCCUGGCUUCCAAAUAUUACCUUCCUAAGUUUAGGCAACAUCCCUAACUGUAUAUGCCUCCCACCUCUUGGUCAUAUUCCCAAUCUCCAUUCUCUUGAGCUCCGCUGCAUUAGUGGUGUCCGUAGCAUUGGACCUGAAAUACUUGCCAAGGGACAGAAGAACACAUUGUACCAGUCACUCAAGGAACUCCAUUUUGAAGACAUGCCUGAUCUGGAGAUCUGGCCAACCUCAUUGGCAGGGGACAGUGAAGAGAGUCAACAACAGUAUUCAUGUUUCCAGUCCUUAAAACUGUCACUGCAAGUGGAUGUCCAAAGAUGAGACCAAGACCAUGCCUCCCAGAUGCUAUAGCAGAUUUGUCACUAUCCAACAGCAGUGAGAUGUUAUCAGUUGGUAGGGUGUUCGGGCCAUCAUCUUCCAAAUCGGCGUCACUUCUUAGGAGACUGUGGAUUAGAAAGUGCCAUGCAUCGUCGUGUGAUUGGAACUUACUGCGGCACAGGCCAAAACUUGAGGAUCUGACCAUUGAGUACUGUGAAAGGCUACGUGUUUUGCCAGAGGCCAUCAAGCACCUUAGCAUGGUCCGGAAGCUGAAGAUUGAUAAUUGCACUGAUUUGGAAGUCCUUCCAGAAUGGCUAGGUGAUCUCGUAGCACUUGAGCAUCUGGAGAUAAGCUGCUGCCGGAAGUUGGUCUCACUGCCAGAAGGUUUGCGCUCCUUAACUGCACUGGAGGAGUUGAUUGUCAGUGAUUGUGGCUCUGCACUGACUGAGAACUGCAGAAAAGGGACAGGCAAGGAUUGGUUCAAGAUCUGUCAUAUCCCAAGUAUCCUCAUCUCGUGACAGCAACAACGGAGGUCAUUCUUCAAGGAUUCUAGUGCAACACCUGUGCAUGAAUAGCAUACCUGAAUGAAAGUACUGUUUGUUACCUAUUCAAAAGGUAAACCAGCCUAGCAACAUGUCCCUUGCGUUCUUUGAAGGUUUGCUUGAUUGUAUCAUCCUAUUUGUACGCAAGAACAUUUUAGGGGUUGUUAGAUUGUAUCUGCUCCUGGUGCGGUUCAGACAAAUAAUAUCCAUGUUGAGAGCUAGUUAUAUUCAAAGGAGUGAAGCUCCAGCCAGGUCCUGCUCUGGUAUAAACUGGCCAGGAGUAUACGAUGUGCAUUAUAAAGUAAAAAGCCACAACUAAGUUAUGUCACUAAUGCAGACAACGACAUCAGCAAACACCAGAAUUUGGUUUAUUGCCACAACAUUAAACGGAAACUGCAAUAUGUUUAAACCCAGAAACAGAAGCAUAUAACUUCGUGGAGCUGCAAUUUUUAUAAUGGAAUCUUUUGAUAUUUUUCCAGCUUCAGUGGCUGCACAGUAGUUCCUAAUAGGCUGAAAGGGUACAUGUUUAUGGUCCAUUCAUUUGAGCUUCAUGCAUAACACUAGAAGGGUUGGGCGCGCUUCGCUGCGCCAUUGAUGUUGUUGAGAUUUCAUAAUUUUUUUAAUUUGGUUGGCGCAUGGGAGAAAUGAUGGCUGUGUUUUCUUUUCUUAUAAUUAGCACAGUCGCCUGCGCAAUGCGCGGGCACCAUCUUUAUCAAGUUAGAAAAAAAUUAUUAAAUUUUCUAAUGCGUAAUAGUUGUUUGUUAGUGUUAUGUUCUUUAAAGAAUACUACAAUUGGAAUUAUAUCGAAUUUAUUCUUCUUUACAACAUGCCUCAUAGUAGCUUGAAAAUUUAAGAGUAAUAUUCUUACUUUCCCUUUCACAACCGUCCAUUCUGAUUUCUUUAGAGGAAAGCAAAGGAUUAGGUAAAACUUUGGUGAAAAUGUAAACUUAAAAAUAAAGUAGGUCCUAAAGGAUAAAUCUUUGAUUUGCCUGAACCUAGAUAUAGAGCUACAGCAUUUUAAGAUAUGAUGAUAGAAAAGUUGAGCCAUAGCGUUAACUGCUUAGUAGUACAAUUACUGUUGCCUUUUCCACUAAGCUAUUGAUACCCAUUCAAAAUUAGUUAAUAAAAGAAGAGAAAUAACGCCCAAUGCUCGAUGCCCUACGUGUGGGCUAUGGGCAUGCCUGUGAGGACGCUCUGCAUAUUUUCAUCCUAUGUUCGCAUGCUGACAUGGUUUGACAACGUGUUGGCAUCAGUCCACCUCACUACAUCGAUGAGCUUUGGGUGUGCGAGAGUCUGCCUUGAAUCGAUCUGUCCAUAUGGUCCGCGGUGCUUCUCAUCAUCCGUUGGAAGAUAUGGGCGUCCUGAAAUGCUAUGCCGUUCAACAAAAUUGACCACCAUAGCUCCAUCACUCUUAGACUGAUUGUUGAGGACAUGCCUCUUUGGAGUCCCGGGCUUAAAAAGCAGGCUCAAAAGGGGUUGCCUUCUCAUGUCGGUCAUAGUACCUCUCC
rnacentral:rRNA from 1 species